UCAUUUAUAUUCUUAGAAUAUGACCCAAGGAAUGUUAUUAAUGAUCACCUCUUCCUCUACAUUUUCCAAUGGCUUCUGAAAAGAUUGUAAUGACUAUACUUAUACCUAAACAAGUAAUAAAUAAAUACAUUUAGCUUCCUUACCGUGAGUAUUGAAUCAACAUUUGAAAACAAAGUAAUCAACCUUUGGCAAUUUGGACUUUGUAUUCUCCAGUGAAUGAAGGAUAACAAUUAGACAUGGAGAUACUUGGUUUAGCAGAGCAGGUGGCAAGCCUGAAGACCGUGAGUUAAGAUCAUAGAGCCACAGAAAGAAGCAGCCUGCACCCCUGAGUUCCAGGUCGGAAUAAAGUAUCACCUGAACUGCUUCAGACUUUGUGGGAAUGAGAAACAAACCUUCCUUGUACUCCACUGCAACCCACUCUUAUAAUCUGAAGAGGCUCCUAUGAUCAGAGUCAAAGAUACAAAUGCUAGGAUACCACACAAAGAAGGAAGAAGAAAUAUCCUGUUAACAAUGUCCAGGUGUGAAAAAAUAAACUGCAACAAUAAACUGGAGGACUAGUUGAUGCACAAAAUAAUCUCACUCUUCAAUCUUAUUGGACCUUUAUUUAUGUGGUCAAGUUUGUGAUGACUAGUUUCAGGAUAGACACCUUGACUUGGCUACAGUGCUACAAUCCCACCUAAGAGUUACAGAUGGUCUAUUUAUGCAGGCCGUUAUAUCUUUAAUUUCUCUCCUUAAUAAAUUUUAUUUAUUAAGACAAGAAAAUGUAAGAAACUUCUGCAUUUUUUAACUUAAAACAAUAUUGUUAAGAUUGUUUUAAUUAAAUACUGUUCUAAAUUAAAUA